rnacentral:rRNA from 1 species
AUGUCAUUAACCCGGAGCUCCUCUUCAGCCUCGAGUGGAACCGCUUCUCCUCCUAGCGAACAGGGUUCAGUUUCUGGUGAAGAACAUAUCUUCAACAGGGAUGGAUUUGCUGAGUUGGAGACCUGGGAGGACCCCACUCCUAGGCCAUCACCCUUUACUCUCAAGGAGCUGGGUGAUGCCUGGGUUGCUGCUGCAAAGCGCCAGCUCAUUCGCAGGCCCAAGACACCGCCCCGUGAGGAGCUGCUGAGGCGCAGCCAAGAGCAUAACCAGAAGAGUUUGAUAAUAGCGUUGAACGUCUAUGCCAAGUAA